rnacentral:rRNA from 1 species
AACCUGGGGAAACCCAGGCUAAUACCGCAUACGUCCUACGGGAGAAAGGGGGCUUCGGCUCCCGCUAUUGGAUGAGCCUAUGUCGGAUUAGCUAGUUGGUAAGGUAAUGGCUUACCAAGGCAACGAUCCGUAGCUGGUCUGAGAGGAUGAUCAGCCACAUCGGGACUGAGACACGGCCCGAACUCCUACGGGAGGCAGCAGUGGGGAAUAUUGGACAAUGGGGGCAACCCUGAUCCAGCCAUGCCGCGUGUGUGAAGAAGGCCCUCGGGUUGUAAAGCACUUUCAGCGAGGAAGAACGCCUGUCGGUUAAUACCCGGCAGGAAAGACAUCACUCGCAGAAGAAGCACCGGCUAACUCCGUGCCAGCAGCCGCGGUAAUACGGAGGGUGCAAGCGUUAAUCGGAAUUACUGGGCGUAAAGCGCGCGUAGGUGGCUUGAUAA